CCAAUUUCACAAUUCCAAUUGUAUUGAAAAUGAAUUAGACUUAAAUUCCCUUCUUAAAUUCCUUUAAGCAGUCCAAUUGUAUUCUCAAUAUAAUUCUCAAUAUAAUUCUCACAAUUCGUCUACAGCUCAGUCUAUCAAGCGGCUCUCCCAAUUCAAUUCGUCACCGCCUAUCGGAAACCUCCUCCCCUGAUUCAAUUCUCACCGCCUCCCCCAAUUCUCGUCUGCAAUAGGUGAUUCAUCUCUGUUCGAGGACGCUUCAUUUCCAGCUCAAGACAAAUUUUCCAGCGGUUUUUCCUCUCACUGACUUCGUUUUCCUCUCAAUUGAGAUCGAGGUCUUGGAAGAGAUUUCACAUUAUCCAGAUACCGUGGGUGCUAAAUUGAAGGGAACUGCAGGAGUUAAAUGCCUAGAGGAGGAUUUACCGGACGACUUAGAGAAGCCUCAUCCCGUGGCACUCAGCUUAAGGAACUAGAGGACGUUCCUCCUGAGCUGCACGGCUCUUGGCACACAUGCUAAUGGCUGUGUUGCAUUUGAUGUGACAGCCAAAAAAAUGGCUAAAGUGAACCAUGGAAAUCUCCCUCCAUUUUGGAUCUAUUUCUCAAGACUCAUAGGCUAAAGGACUCAUACGAGUUAUGUUCACAAGCAGCCAAAGAAAUUGAGGGGAGAGUUUUGGCAAGGGCUAAGGGGAAGAUCCAGAUUACGAUGCAAUCUUUCUCGAGCUUUUUGGGAGGGUUAAGAAAAGGAAACAGGUUCCUGGAGCUGGGCAAGCGACAAGCUUGUAUUUUCCAUUUGCUACCAGCUCAGCUGCGGGCUCUGCAUCUUCCGGCUCGUCUGGCCUCAGCAAUGAGCAGGUUGAUGAGCUUCUCGAGCGACGAGUACAGCCUUUGCAUCAAGAGAUCGAAGAAUUGCGGGAGCUAGUAAAAGUCCUCAGUCAGCAAGUUCAAGAAAAUUCAAGAGUAUAGAAGAAGUGGCUAGUAGUAUUUGAACUAAAUUGUGGAAACUAGUAGUAUUUGAACUUAAUUUGUGAUUUGAUUGAAUUGAAGUGUGAAACAAUAUUUUGUAUCUAUGUAAAAUUUGAAUUUUCGUCAUUCAAUUGAGUUAUUUCAUACUA